ensembl:lncRNA
GGAGUUUGCAUUGUGGAACGUGCGGGGACGCUGUAUUAACUGGUUUAUCUGCAUUACCACCGAGUCUUCCUAACAACUCGUGUUGGAGACUAGUAUUCCAUUUUAUAGUUGGGGAAACUGAAGCCUUAGCAACUGCCCAGCUUACGCCCGCAGUACACGAUAGAGUCAGAAAUUGACUUCCCAAGCCUAGUCUCUUAAUCAUACCUGUGCACUGCCUCUCUACUACACCUAAAACCUGUGUUUUACAAAUGUCCUUUCAACACCAUUUGUCUCAGCUCUGUAUUCGUCGGCCCUCUGGGGGAUACAGCGAGGUAGAAGCCUUGGCCCCGUUCUGAACCAGUUGACCAAAAAUCCCGAGCAAAGCGCUCCAGUGAGAGGAGGGAGAGACAGCUGUCAGCUGGAGCUGCUGAAUGCAGCGCGAAGGAUGGAAGGAUGCUGAUUUGAGCUGGGCGUGAUUUGGAAGAUCCAGGGAAGGACAUUCCAGGUCCCGGACAGCCAAAGUGAAGUCUCACAGGAUUCUGCCCUGCCCUUCAGCUCUGCAUCUGAUGGCCAGCAUCUGGGGGAUCUUGUUUUCCUAAGAUUGUUGGAAUUCCUGUUAUCAUCAUAUGAAGUCUUCCCCUGGCGUCAUCAGCUUCCUGUAUCCAGGAGCUGUUCUAACUAAGGAACCUCAGUGCAGACACCUGAAUAUCACAUUCUCUGCCUGAAGAAUUCUCCGAUCUUGGUAGAGUGUGGACCCUUUUGAGAUCUUGCUUUUUGGCAUGAUCAUUUCUGACAUACCUCUGUGUCCAUUGGUGUAAUUUUUUGUUUUUGGAAACAGACUGAGCUGCUUCUGCCCAGAGCCAUCAAGGCUGUACCUGAAACUGUCUCCUGACCUUGGAGUGCUCAAGUUCACAUGGACUCUCCACUUUGUUCUGGAGAUAGGUGGGCUCUGGCUCAGGCAGCAUCAAGACAAGCCAGGCCUGCAGACCUCCCCAAGGGACAAAAGCCCUCCUCCUCACCCACGAAGGUGGGCUCAUCCUGCUGGAUAUGAGACCUUCCCUUUACCUCUGCUAUCUUUUCUCUGUGUAAGAUUCACAUGACUCCCGCUCAGUCAUGGAUGUGGGCACGCCUCCGUGCCCGGGACCUCCACCGUCUCUUCCCCAGUCCUGCUGCAACUGCUCCGUAGCCCAGGCCCCACGACAUAACCGUCCCUGUGGCAGCAGCUGGUAGAUAAGACCAAAGGAUAUGACCAAAGAUUGGAAGGGUUAGGCCUCUCAGGAGGAUUGCCCCAGGGGCACGAUGCUGGCAGGUUAUGAGAACGAGAUGCCUCAGGGUAAGGACCCAGCCUUCACUUACUAAUCCUGUAAAUGAUGGAGAAGGGAAAUCCAGCGUUUAAAAAUAUCCCACCACGGAGUUCCCGUUGUGGCACAAUGGGAUUGGCCGCAUCUUGGGAGCUCUGGGACACAGGUUCUGUCCCAGCCCGGCACAGUGGGUUAAGAAUCCAGGGUUGCCGAAGCUGUGGCUUAGGUUGCAACUGCGGCUCAGAUCAGAUCCCUGGCCUGGGAACUCCAUAUGCUGCAAGGCAGCCAAAAAAAGAAAACAAACGAAAACUAUAUAUAUGUGUGUGUGUGUGUGUGUGUACAAAUCCCACUGCUUGCUCCAUGAGUCCCCUAAAAUGAAGAUAAGACUCCAGCCAAGAAAUUAAGUUGAUUUGGGAAAAACUAAAAAUCCCUCCUUGGUGUUAUAACUUCAAGUUCAGUUUACUGUUAUUAUGUAGUGCUUUCUAGCAAUAUUUUCCCAUUUAUAUUAUUUUUAAAAGAAAUGGAAUUUCCCUGGUGGCCUAACAGGUUAAGGAUCCCGCAUUGUCACUGCUGUGGAUAAGUGACAAUGCUGUGGUAUGGGUUUGACCCUUGGCCCAGGAACUUCUGCAUACCAUGUCCAAAAAAGCCCAUUAUUGCCUUAGAGAUUUCCAAUUAUCUCUCCAGUUUGAUUAACAAAAACUGGUUAAUUAGGUUUCACUGUAUGAGCUAAGGAGUUUCAUUAUUCUGUUUGCCUAAAAUCUAAAAUUUGUACUACAUAUUUGCAUAUAUAUAUCUUACAUAUAUGUAUUUGUAUAUUUGUAUUGUGCCUUUGUAUUUGUAUAUAUCUUUUUUUUUUUUUUUUUUUGUCUUUUUGCCUUUUCUUGAGCCGCUCCCGCGGUAUAUGGAGCUUCCCAGGCUAGGGGUCCAAUCGGAGCUGUAGCCACCGGCCUACACCACAGCCACAGCAAUGUGGGAUCCAAGCUGCGUCUGUGACCCACACCACAGCUCACAGCAACACUGGAUCCCCAACCCACUGAGCAAAGGCAGGGAUGAAACCUGCAACCUCAUGGUUCCUGGUCGGAUUCGUUAACCACUGCACCACGACGGGAACUCCUGUAUUUGUAUAUAUCUUAUUUAAAAUUCUCCUUAGAGUUCCUGUUGUGGCUCAGAGGGUUAAGAACAGCAUAGCGUCCAUGAGGACGCAGGUUCAAUCCCUGGCCUUGCUCAGUGGGUUAAGGAUCCGGCGCUGCUGCAAACUGCAGUGUAGGUCACAGAUGUGUCUGGAAUCCCACGUUGCUAUGACUGUGGCCUAGGCAGGCAGCUGCAGCUCUGCUCCAAUUUGACCCCUAGCCCAGGAACUUCCAUAUGCUGCAGGUAUGACCCUAAAAAGAAAAAAAAAAAAAAAA